rnacentral:rRNA from 1 species
AACGAACGCUGGCGGCAGGCUUAACACAUGCAAGUCGAGCGGGCCCUUCGGGGUCAGCGGCAGACGGGUGAGUAACACGUGGGAACGUACCUUUUGGUUCGGAACAACUCCGGGAAACUGGAGCUAAUACCGGAUAAGCCCUUAGGGGGAAAGAUUUAUCGCCAAAAGAUCGGCCCGCGUCUGAUUAGCUAGUUGGUGGGGUAACGGCCCACCAAGGCGACGAUCAGUAGCUGGUCUGAGAGGAUGAGCAGCCACACUGGGACUGAGACACGGCCCAGACUCCUACGGGAUGCAGCAGUGGCGAAUAUUGGACAAUGGGCGCAAGCCUGAUCCAGCCAUGCCGCGUGAGUGAUGAAGGCCUUAGGGUUGUAAAGCUCUUUUGUCCGGGAAGAUAAUGACUGUACCGGAAGAAUAGGCCCCGGCUAACUUCGUG